AAAUUUGGAGGCAGCGCUGCAAAAUCGCCUUAAAUUUGGAUCUUUUGCACUGUGAAAAGUAGAAACCAGAGGUGGAGGUGUCGGGAAUGUCAGAGCUGAGAAAGUGUGAUGAGGCGAGUGUGUCAGUAGAGGGUGACACUGAUGUGCUUUUGGAGGAAGACGAGGAAGAGGAUGAAGAGGAGGAGGAUGAGACGACGAGCAAUAAAGAGCUUUUAGAGAGACUUCGAGAACUGGAGACAGAGAACACAUCACUGGCUCUGGCGAACGAGAGUCAGAGAGAGGCCUAUGAGCGAUGUUUAGAUGAGGUGGCAAAUCAUGUAGUGCAGGCUCUGCUGAACCAGAAGGACCUAAGGGAGGAGUGUAUAAAGUUGAAGAUGCGAGUGUUUGAUCUGGAGCGACAAAACCGAACUCUGACCGACUUCCUUACACACAAACUGCACUUUUCCUCCUCACCUUUACACCAGUUAUCGUCGGUAUGUACAGACCACCGAUCAGAUCCAUCAUUAGUCAUCGUCGAGUUGCCGCAAGCCAGCACCUCUCAGGGGAAAGUGAAGGACAGUGAGGAAUGUGCACAAAACAUCAUAGAAAGUUCAGCUCAAGCUUCCUCGUCAUCCAUGGAAGCCAUGUCUCCUUUCCUCAAGAAGAAAGCUCACAUCCUUGAGGUUCUUCGUAAGUUAGAAGAGUCAGAUCCCCUGAAGUUUCCUCCGUCCUCUUGUUAUCAUCAUCAUCAUCCUCACACAGAACCACAUUUACCAGGAGAGGUGACUAGCAUGGUGCACUUGAGUCCACCUCAACACCAGUGUCGACAGUCUAGUUCAGAUUCAGAUCUUCAUGAACACACUCAUGCUAUCGGUGAUAGACAACAGGACAGCCAUGCAUCAUUGAACUUUGGAGGCUGUCCAUCUUGUCUCAUCCUGCAACAGAGAUCAAGCAUGGAGCUGCUUAAGGCUAACAAAGGAUCCAGUGUGCCGACAGGUUCUGGCAAAGAUGAUAAGAGAGGACAAAUGUGGUUAGAAGAAUGUGGUGCUUCAGGACAGACUAUAGACAAAACCAAUCACCCUUGCUCAGAAGAUCCAAAUAAUGACUGCAACAAAAGACAAUCAAGCAAGAUAUCACCUACAAAGACAAAAAGUACCAAUAAAUUUCACCAAAGUUCAGAAACUAUUCCAUCACCAAAGGGCGGGAAAAUGAAGCAGUCUCCGAAAAAAGCUGCACCAUGUGAAAAACAAGAGCCUGAGAUUUGCAAUGAAGAACUCCCAGCAACUAAAGAAACUACAGUCUCCAAAAAAGCAUCUGCAGCAUCAUCAUAUUCUUCAGCAUCAUUACCUGAGAGAAGUACUUCAGCAUUUUUACAGCAGCAGGUCACAGAAAAAAAAUCUACGCAAAGUCCAGCAUCAUUGUUUGGUGAAUCUAUACCUGCAGCUCCGACACUUCUGAAGCUGCUCAAGAUACCUUCAGCAUCUGAGAAUAUGGCAGCUUCCAAUGCAUUUCGCUUGAGCCCUCAACUGACACGAAACUCAAAAAUCCCCUGCAGGAAUAACUAUGAGGUGCAGACACGGAAGGCAACCACAACAGAACAAGCUUCCAGCUCUAAAACAGAUUCGCACCCUGAAACACAUUCAGCUCCAACAUCUCCACCAAAUAAUGAGGAAACAUCAUCUAUUCCCAAAAAAGAUCCAGGGUUUAGUAGCCACUCAGCCCCUAAAUCAAGCAAGGCUUCUAAAGCAAGUGCUCAGGUACCUCACUAUGAAAAUAUUGAAGGUAAUUCUACUUUUAAUACCACCACUGCUACUAAGGACACCACAGAACUUUCUGAAAAACAAAAAUUAAACUGGAGAGAUGAAAAGAUCCUGAAUCCACUUUCCUCCGAUUCAUCAACAAGCACAAGUGACUCUUCUUCCUCCUCGUCAGAUCAGGAGACAGACACAGAAAGCCCAGUUUGGCAAAGACCACAGCACCAUUUUAGCCUCCCAACCUCUUCAUCUUCUGCAAAUAAGGCCCAGAGGAUGAGCUACCCCAGCAUGAAAGAUAAAUAUCAUGACCAAGGGCCACCAGUGGCAUCUCCAAAAGUGGGAGCUUCUGGUGCAUCUCAGGUUGUGGUUAAAAGAAGAGACAGACAGUCACUGGUGCCAGACAGGAGAGAAAUCAGCAGCUACAGUGAGAUGAGCUAUCACCCGUUCAAAGAACGCUUGGCGGUUCUUGGAAGACUGCAGAAUUUGGAAGAUAUGCAUCAAGCAGGAGUAAAAAGGGGGGCACAGAGUAAUGUUAGCAGACCUGCUGCAUCCACUGGGAAAGGAGAAAGAAGCAAAACAGCUGAAAGACAAAUAGAGAGGAUUACACUGGAACAGCGAAAACACACUGGUUCACUCGAAGGAAAAUCAUAUCCCAAAAAUUGCUUUGGCAAUUAUGCAAAAGUACAUGCGUCAUCAUCAGCAGCAGAAAGAAAGUACAUCACAAAGCCAGACAGUCAAAAGACCAGAACAGGAAUGCCAUCAACAGCCUCAUGUGAAACCCUUGUAGUAAUGCGAAGUUACGGAAAGUGUCCCAGUCCACUAAACAAAACAGUACCAAGUCCGCAAAGCAGCCCCUCCAGAGCACAAUCCAAGUCUCCAUCCAAGGCAGGAAAUGCCUCUUAUCCUCGAGGAAUGAAACCAGUCCAGGAAGAGCAUCUGAACCUUCAGAAGCAUCAGUCACCCAAACUUACAACUCGGAAGAAAAAGGCUAUCACACAACUAGAUACCUUUCCACCUCCUCUUCCUUCAAAAUCAACACUAGACUCAGCUAAGUCUGUUGAAGAGAAAAGACUUUCUGUCCCACAGUCCUCAAUUGAGCAGAAAGUCAUGCGGGGAAUCCAAGAAAACAUGCUUAAACUGCAGGAACAUGAUCGAGGACCAGCUGUGGAAAUGAAACAAAAAUCGUCCAAUGGGAUUGCAAGUUGGUUUGGGUUAAAGAAAAGCAAACUCCCUGCUCUUAAUCGCAAAGCAGAAUUGUCCAAAAUCAAAUCGAAUACGUCCUCAUCAUCCACUUCCUCAGGAACGAAAGACAUCUUAGGGACCAAAGGAGGGUCCAGAAAGGUAGUGGAAAGUUUAAACAUCUCAAAGCUCAUGGAAAAAGCAGAGGAUUUACGGAAGGCUUUGGAGGAUGAAAGGGUAUAUGUAAAAGGAGUCGGAAUUCCACUCGAUCAUUCUGUGAGAGGGCGCUCGUGUGAAGUUAUCGUGGACCAAACACAAGGUCAGUUAUCACUGAUGUACACAGGAGUGACGGGUGACGGCUUCAUGCAACAGCUGCUGAACAGGGUGGAUGACAGAGGAGCACCCGGUUUUGGCAUUAUGCACAGGCGUCUGUCCUUCGACUCUAAAAGGUCUCGUCCUGUUUUUGGCCAUCAGCAAAGUUGCGUCCGUCAGACCAGGAGUGGCGAGGAGAUAAAAGUAAAAUGUUCUGAAAUGAGUCGAGGUGACGAUAUGACAUCUGAUGAAAGCCUGGCCGAGUCCGUCAGCUCACAGCACUUUAAAGGCUCCAUGCGCACACUUGACAGUGGGAUUGGGACGUUCCCACUUCCUAACUAUGCCAACAACGCUGCUGGAAAACUGAACCCUAAACUCCAAAGCUCAUCUGUUUCUCACCAAAUGGCGAUGAAAUCUCGAAAAACACGAACCCUAGAGGGAGGACUAGCAUCUUUGGAUGAAGUGAACACUUCUGUACUCUACACUUCAUCACUAGAGGCCAAGGGAACAAGUGUGCACUUGUCCAGCACUAUCCAUGAAGAUAUUGAUCUCUAUGGAGGUCAUUUUCAAGCCUCACCCACUGCAGACUGGGCGUUUCCCAAACUGAGAGCAUCAGAGGGACAGAUAGAGCCCCCGAGCCAACAAACUCCAACAAAGCGGGGUGCGAGUUUCUCCAGAGAGCUAAAUCAAGAAACGCUUAAAGUGCCCAGAUAAAAUAAAAUGACAAAGAGAAGAAAGAGAAGAAAAACCUGUCACUGAGCAUCUAAACACUGAUGAUUAACCUCCGGUUCCUCCUGAUUGGGUCAGCAGUUGCCAUGGAAACUGAAAGGAUGAGAACAUUGAUGGAGGAUCUUCACCAUCAGAUGUUACACUGAAAACAGACUCUAUUAUAUUAACCACGUGCACACAUACACACACACUUCUGAAAAAAUCUUAAGUGUUUAGAGCAGCAGAGGGGUUUUUAGCAUCUUGUUCUCAUCUUGUUUUUAGAUAAAUCUCCUGGUGAUGCCUCAAUAAUAAACAACGUCAUGACUUUUAAAGGCGCACGAGUUUAGAUCCAGGGUUUCAGAGUUUGGAUAAAGUUCCUCGGGUUCCUCGUGAUGUGGAACCAAAAAACGUUUCACCGUCAGGAGGACGACGAGGGAAG